ACGCAAGUCAAAGGGGAGUAGCGUUAGGUAAUUUACCUAAAACAAAGUCGUCAAUUCAUGGGUUUAUCAUCCAUCGGCUUUGUUGACAUGAGUGUGACUGACCAUGUUUAGCAAGACCUUUGCCUUUUUUAAGGCAAAGGUCUUUUUGUGUU
rnacentral:sRNA from 2 species